rnacentral:rRNA from 1 species
UGGGGAAUCUUGCGCAAUGGGCGAAAGCCUGACGCAGCGACGCCGCGUGUGGGAUGAAGGUCUUCGGAUUGUAAACCACUGUCGGGAGGGACGAAGCUCUGACGGUACCUCCAAAGGAAGCACCGGCUAACUCUGUGCCAGCAGCCGCGGUAAUACAGAGGGUGCGAGCGUUGUCCGGAAUCACUGGGCGUAAAGGGCGCGUAGGCGGCCUGGUAAGUAGGGGGUGAAAUCUCAUGGCUCAACUGUGAGGCUGCCUUCUAGACUGCUGGGCUUGAGCACGGUAGAGGCUGGUGGAAUUCCCGGUGUAGCGGUGGAAUGCGUAGAGAUCGGGAGGAACAUCGGUGGCGAAGGCGGCCAGCUGGGCCGUUGCUGACGCUGAGGCGCGAAAGCGUGGGGAGCAAACAGGAUUAGAUACCCUUGUAGUCCCUGAGCGGGCUGGCAAGGCGCAU